rnacentral:rRNA from 1 species
UAGAGUUUGAUCAUGGCUCAGAGCGAACGCUGGCGGCAGGCUUAACACAUGCAAGUCGAACGGGCACUUCGGUGCUAGUAGCAGACGGGUGAGUAACACGUGGGAACGUACCUUUCGGUUCGGAAUAAUUCAGGGAAACUUGGACUAAUACCGGAUACGCCCUUCGGGGGAAAGAUUUAUCGCCGAUAGAUCGGCCCGCGUCUGAUUAGCUAGUUGGUGAGGUAAUGGCUCACCAAGGCGACGAUCAGUAGCUGGUCUGAGAGGAUGAUCAGCCACAUUGGGACUGAGACACGGCCCAAACUCCCUACGGGAGGCAGCAGUGGGGGAAUAUUGGACAAUGGGCGCAAGCCUGAUCCAGC